CAAGAGCGUCCCUGCAUCCAGCCGCCACAGUGUGAAGUGAGUUUCAGAGGAAGAGAUGGCUUAAGGGUCCCUCUACAGGCAGAUCAGAACCACGGUGCUUCUGGGUAGAAGCAGAGGUGAGACGUUCGGGCGAGGAGACAUGAGGAAAAGGGACAGGCACCAAGCACUUCUGAACCACUGUGCACCCUCUAAAUAGCAGUGAUUGCCUUUAUUUAUCCAGCGCCUCUGUCCAGGAAGCUGCACGCACAGCACAGACUGCCUCCCCAGGCGUCCCAGCGCCCCUGCGAGCUGAGGAUCAAGGACGGGGAUUAUUUUACAGAUGGGAGAACUGGCACUUGGAGGCAGUGUGUGUGCCAAGGCCCCUUCAGAAGGCAGCAGCACAGCCAGGAACAGGAUGCAGGUAAAAAUAACAACAAUACAUUUUUCUUUUUUUAAUUGCUUCUUAGCAUCUUCCCUGCUGGAUUGAGAUCUGUUUCACAAAACUACUUGAAAGAGUCAGAGUCUUUGAUUCUCCCCAGCAAAAGGAACUUUCACACUUGGAAGGCGGUUGUUGAAGCCCCCGGCCGGCCGUGUGGCCCGAAGGCAUCAAGGGUGGGCCUCGGACUUCAUUUAUCAACCUGAAGAGCACCAGAGGAGCCCCGCAGAUGCUCUGCAAUUCACCCUCUGGAAGUACUUUCAGGAGAUUCAUUUUGGUACCUCCCAACCAUGGGAGGUACCAAAAUGAGUAAGUUCAUCUGGGAACCUUAAUCAAUCAAACAAAUGUUUAUUGAUUUUCUACCAUACUCAGAUCUAGUGCCACAAAUGAACAGCCAUCGUUGCCCGUGGUCCUCACCUGAUCAAACUACUGUGCACUUAGCACAGCGCCUUUUACAGAGGCCGCGUGAAGAGCACGAGGUGCCCAGGAAGGAAUGAAGAGAAGAUGAACAGGAAGUCACCCUGCUGGUGGCAGAAGAGGGUGCAUUAGGGUUCUGAGGAAAGGAGGCUGUUGUGGCCUGAGGUCAGGUAGCCAUGACCAAGGGGGGAGUCCUUUGAGGGUCAGGGAUCUGUGAUUGGAAUGAGAUGGUGCCAGUGCCAGACAGAGUUGACCCUGGACACCCUGGGUGCUUCAGCCCUCCUAGAGUGAGCUUCAGAGACAGGACAGGGCGUGCUGAGUUGUAAACGUGUGUUUGCCUUUGGGUUGCUGUUCCCUCCCAAGACCCAGUUCCUCCUGGUGGAACCAUGCUGCUCUCAAGGCUGCACCCCCAGCACCUCACCCUAAAUCUGGCACAGAACAAGUGAUCAUGACAGUAUCAUCAUGACUGGACAAUAAGAGUAUAAUGGUAAAGUCCAAUGCUACGUUCCAUAUAUCCAGAACAAAGAGUCGGUGAUAAGUGGGUGGACCCUCGACGUUCCCAUGUAGCUGAGAACUGAGUCCUGGCUCUGCCACUUACUCCCCUUGUGGCCUGAGGACAAGGCUCCAAAUCUCCUUUUCUUCAUUUAUAAAAUAUGAAAGAAAUCA